AUUGAACGCUGGCGGCAGGCCUAACACAUGCAAGUCGAACGAGUGGCGGACGGGUGAGUAAUGUCUGGGAAACUGCCUGAUGGAGGGGGAUAACUACUGGAAACGGUAGCUAAUACCGCAUACCAUCGGAUGUGCCCAGCUGGGAUUAGCUAGUUGGUGGGGUAAAGGCCUACCAAGGCGACGGUCCGUAACUGGUCUGAGAGGAUGAUCAGGUACAAUGGAACUGAGACACGGUCCAGACUCCUGCGGGAGGCAGCAGUGGGGAAUAGUGUGCAAUGGGGGAAAUCCUGAUCCAGCCAUGCCGCGUGUGUGAAGAAGGUCUUCGGAUUGGAAAGCACGUUAAGUUGGGAGGCGUUACCAACAGAAUAAGCACCGGCUAAAGUCGUGCCAGCAGCCGCGGUAAUUC
rnacentral:rRNA from 1 species